rnacentral:rRNA from 1 species
UCUUAAAGAUUAAGCCAUGCAAGUGUAAGUACGGCCCUUCCAUUGUGGGGGCGAGACUGCGGACGGCUCAUUAAAUCAGUUAUGAUUCCCAGGAGCCAGCGAAAUCUACUUGGAUAACUGUGGCAAUUCUAGAGCUAAUACAUGAUACUGAAGCUUCGCCGUCGCCUUCCUCGCGGAGGCGGCAGGAGCGCGCUUGUUAGCCUCAAACCAAUCCGGCUGUCUCGGGUGUCCGUCCGCUCUCGGGUGGCGGCCCCGGCGACUCCGGUACCUAUGAUGAAUUCUGGACAACUCUGCCGAUCGCAUGGCCUUCGUGCCGGCGACAUAUCUUUCAAGUGUCUGACCUAUCACACUAGAUGGUUUGCGCUCUGCGCACCAUGGUGACAACGGGUGACGGGGAAUCAGGGUUCGAUUCCGGAGAGGGAGCAUGAGAAACGGCUGCCACAUCCAAGGAAGGCAGCAGGCACGCAACUUACCCAAUGCCGAAACGGCGAGGUAGUGACGAAAAAUAACAAUACGGGACCCUCUUUACGAGUUCCCGCAAUUGAAAUGAGUACAUUCUAAAUCCUUUAACGAGGAUCAAUUGGAGGGCAAGUCUGGUGCCAGCAGCCGCGGUAAUUCCAGCUCCAAUAGCGUAUGUCAAAGUUGUUGCGGUUGAAAAGCUCGUAGUUGGAUCUCGAUGCCGGGCUGGCGGUGCGCCCGUAGUGGUGUUUUCUACUGCCAGUGCCGGCGAUAAAAAGAGGCCGGCAGUUUUGUUCCCUUGGUGCUCUUGACUGAGUGGCUUGGGUGGCCGGAACGUUUACUGUGAAAAAAUUAGAGUGCUCAAGGCAGGCCUACGUGCCCGAAUACUGGUGCAUGGAAUAAUAGAAUAGGACCUCGGCGCCACGUUUGUUGGUUUACGGUGCUCGAGGUAAUGAUUAAUAGGGACUGCCGGGGGCCUACGUACUGCGGCGCGAGAGGUGAAAUUCUGUGACCGUCGCAGGACGAACGAAAGCGAAAGCAUUUGCCAAGAAUGUUCUCCUUAAUCAAGAACGAAAGUCAGAGGUUCGAAGACGAUCAGAUACCGUCGUAGUUCUGACCGUAAACUAUGCCAACUGACCCUCCGCCGUUGGUUGCUUUAUUGACUGGGCGAGGAGCCUCCGGGAAACCAAAGUCUUUGGGUUCCGGGGGGAGUACGGUUGCAAAGCUGAAACUUAAAGGAAUUGACGGAAGGGCACCACAAGGGGUGGAGCCUGUGGCUUAAUUUGACUCAACACGGGAAACCUCACCCGGUCCGGACACUGGAAGGAUUGACAGACUAACGCUCUUUCUUGAUUCAGUGGGUGGUGGUGCAUGGCCGUUCUUAGUUGGUGGAACGAUUUGUCUGGUUAAUUCCGAUAACGAACGAGACUCUCGCCUGCUAAAUAGUUCGGGGACGCCUAAUGCGCGUCCCCGCUCGAACUUCUUAGAGGUACAAGUGGCGUUUAGCCACACGAAACGGAGCAAUAACAGGUCUGUGAUGCCCUUAGAUGUCCGGGGCCGCACAUGUGCUACAAUGGAUGCACCAGCGUGUAUCAUACUCGCCCGAAAGGGUAGGGGAAUCCGCUGAACCGCAUUCUCGGUUGGGAUUGGGGAUUGCAAUUAUUUCCCAUGAACGCGGAAUCCCUAGUAGGCGCCAGUCAUCAGCUGGCGUCGAUUCAGUCCCUGCCCUUUGUACACACCGCCCGUCGCUACUACCGAUCGCUCUUGUUAAUGAGCCUGUCGGAUGGGACCCGGUGAGUGGGCCUUCGCGGCCUACGAGCCCUGGUGUUUGCCCAGAAGACCGGCGAAUUUACCGGGGUAGAGGAAGUAAAAGUCGUAACAA